rnacentral:rRNA from 1 species
UACGAAGGGGGCUAGCGUUGCUCGGAAUUACUGGGCGUAAAGGGCGCGUAGGCGGAUAGUUUAGUCAGAGGUGAAAGCCCAGGGCUCAACCUUGGAAUUGCCUUUGAUACUGGCUACCUUGAGUUCGGGAGAGGUGAGUGGAAUGCCGAGUGUAGAGGUGAAAUUCGUAGAUAUUCGGCGGAACACCAGUGGCGAAGGCGACUCACAGGCCCGAUACUGACGCUGAGGCGCGAAAGCGUGGGGAGCAAACAGG